GACGAACGCUGGCGGCGUGCUUAACACAUGCAAGUCGAACGGUAAGGCCCUUUCGGGGGUACACGAGUGGCGAACGGGUGAGUAACACGUGGGUGAUCUGCCCUGCACUUUGGGAUAAGCCUGGGAAACUGGGUCUAAUACCGGAUAGGACUACGCGAUGCAUGUCGUGUGGUGGAAAGCUUUUGCGGUGUGGGAUGGGCCCGCGGCCUAUCAGCUUGUUGGUGGGGUGAUGACCUACCAAGGCGACGACGGGUAGCCGGCCUGAGAGGGUGUCCGGCCACACUGGGACUGAGAUACGGCCCAGACUCCUACGGGAGGCAGCAGUGGGGAAUAUUGCACAAUGGGCGCAAGCCUGAUGCAGCGACGCCGCGUGGGGGAUGACGGCCUUCGGGUUGUAAACCCCUUUCAGCACAGACGAAGCGUAAGUGACGGUAUGUGCAGAAGAAGCACCGGCCAACUACGUG
rnacentral:rRNA from 1 species